GGGCCCGUAGCUCAACCUGGUAGAGCGCCGCCCUUGCAAGGCGGAGGCUGUGGGUUCA
rnacentral:tRNA from 1 species